UGUGAUUUCAGUGCCAGUUCUUGUCUGAGAAAAUGAGUGAUCCAGCAAAGAAACCGGCGGAGUCCACACCUGGGACUGAUGAUGGCUCCGGAGGAGAGGGCAAGGGAGAGUUAGGAGGCUUACAAAAUAAUAGUUCAUACACAUUAACGGGAAGAAGGGAAAAGGUGGAAAAGGGGGACACGGCCAUGGGCAUGGAAAAGCCGGCGAGCAUGGAGGAGAUCAUGGAGGCGACCAUAAAGGAAAAGGAGGCGAGCAUAAAGGAAAAGGAGGCGAGCAUGGAGGAGAUCAUGGAGGCGACCAUAAAGGAAAAGGAGGUGACCACGGAGGAAAAGCAGGUCGUGGAGGACAUUAAAGAUUUAAUCAUGUACCAUUUGCAUCUGUUUCAUCACGGUAGCUAUUACGAAAAAAACAUGUUGAGCGAUUUAUUAAAGUUGACAAACCUCUAAUAAAACCUACUUAUAAAACAGAGUCAUAUGUUUGUAUAACUUCUUAAUGCAUAAUAAUCAUGCAAUACAAUGAACAUUUUACAAAAUAGAAACACAAAAAUGAUUGCAAAAUGUGUCAUUUUUUGCCAUCUAAACAAGUCACUGUCAAGAGGCGUCGAGAUACUAUCAUACUACACCAUUCCUGUGUAGCCCAUACCAGACCAACACAUCAAACAUUCAGUGAAGGACAGCUCAACGCCAUUUUUAUCAUUUUACUCACAUACAGAACAUUAACCAACGGGGUAGUAAUAAACCCGGAACAAUGGCCAUGUAUGUCCCUGAGUCUUGGAAAUAUAAUCCUUUCUUGUGGAUAUUUGUCUCCCCUUGCACCACUCUGUUUAACCGUUGUUAUCAAUAAUUUCCAUGUGGACAACAUUCAGGAAGAAAAUCCCAAUGUUUUAUUAACCAUCCAACAUUUUUUAAGCGGUAAAGUAGGCCUACUUGACGGAUAAAAACAUGUCACAAUAGGCCUGAUGGAAAGAAAAUGUCGGUAAACUUUCCAAAUGUUGUCAAAACAAAAUAGGACAUGGUGUGAUCUUUAGGUUUAGGUAAAAUUACGGUGGAAACGCUUUUAUGCGCAAAUAUUGAUAUAAUAACCAUCAUAUCAAGUAAAGUCACGACAUGACAUGUUGCGUGGUCCUCCCACUACGACUCAAGAAAACAGACAUUUUAUUAGGCAACCACAAAUUAAAUAUAUGAACUUCACAGGGUGGUGAAAGGUGAUGAGCUUGAUGCUCCUUUCCAAUAAAUAUCGAGGGUAUUAUUCUGGUGACAUGAUGAUCGAUUCUUGGCUGCCGUUUAACAAAUUAAAAUGAUCUCGCUCUUUUGUUCAUAAUAAUUUCAAAUACGUAGUAUAUAUAUCUGCAAACUGUUGGCUAGACAGCACGUGCCAAUACCAGAGUGAGCACAUUCGCUAUAUAACGCACAAAAAAAUCUGAGUUGAAAAUGCGAUGGAAACAAUUUACUUGUCAAUUUAUUUGACUGCAAAAUAUAUAUUUUUUGUGCACUACGUCAUCACGCAGCAAAUACAUUUGAUGGAAAACGUAAAUGUUUAUGUAAACGGCUUUAAAAAAUAUUCGCAUAAAAAUCUGUCGCCAAUUGGAUAGAAAAAUAACUAGUUUUCAACAAAGCCCGCAAAAUAGGCUACUAUUCCAGCCUGAAUCGAUAAAUGAUGGUCGGCUAAUGUCGCGUUCAAAGCGACUGGGAACUCAGAAAUCUCACUUCCAACCUUAGUGUCAUGACGUCGGUGAGCUUCAAGUCGGAAAGUCAGAUCUCUAGAAAAAGGCCAGAGUUCCCGAGUUGGAUUACCGUUCAAACCGAUUUUUCCCAGUCAGCGCUUGUUUUUGUUGUUGUGGAGUUCCCAGUUAAAAGCACUGAAGUCGAGGAUUUCCGAGUUCCCAUUUGUCUUGAAACCACCAUAAGGCAAGGCAAUAAUAAUUGCGUGCUCCGUCUUCGACUUUGUCAUCGAUUGACAAAUUGCUAUAACGUAUGUGGUUAGCCGAUACUUAAAAUACCUAUCCACGCGUUGUAAGAUUUGUCAGGCAUAAGCAACGUCUAAGCGUAGGAACGCAGCCACAGUAAAAGGGCCAAUUUCCUCCAAUGUUUGUACACAGAUAACAUGUAUACAUUUUAGUUCAGUUGAACAAAACAUGACAAAAGUGUCUUGCACAUGUCUAUGAAAAAGUACAGUAUAAUAACCUAAAUCACAUUUUAAGUGUCUCAUUGCUAUGGAAACAAGUAUUCCACAAUCUGGGAUGUAACGGAUGUGAAACGCUAGUUUAGUUAGCGGUGGUCGCGCUAAAUAGCGUUUCAAUCGGUGACGUCACUUGCUCUGAGACCUUGAAGUAGUAGUUGCUCUACAAGGGCCGCGGCAUUUGUGGAGCGAUGGGUAACGACGCUUCGUGGGUGACUGUUGUUGAUGUGUGCAGUCGGUCCCUGGUUCGUGCCCGGGUAUGGGCGAGGGGAUGGUCUAAAGUUAUAGUGUUACAUUCACACAAGCAAUAUGACAGAAAAGAAGCUGAUCAAAUAUUAUCCAUCCAUGAUGUCAUAAUAUUUAUAAAACAUUCACAAAUAUCAAAGCUUAUCACUAAGCUAAGGAUCCUGGACAAAACACCUUCCUCUGCAACUGGAUCCUGGACUUCCUGACAGGCUGGUAAGGGUAGGUAACAACACAUCUGUCACGCUGAUCCUCAACACAGGGGCCACUCCUGUACUCCCUGUUCACUCAUGACUGCAUUGCCAGGCACGACUCCAACACCAUCAGUAAGUUUGCAGAUGACAACAGUUGUCAUUGACGGUGAUCAGGCCUACGAGACAGCCUAUAGGGAGGUGGUCAGAGACCUGGCCGUGUAGUGCCAGGACAACAACCUCUUCCUCAACGUGAUUAAGACAAAGGAGAUGAUUGUGGACUACAGGAAAAGGAGGACCGAUCACGCCCCCAUUCUCAUCGACGGGGCUGUAAUGGAGCAGGGUGAGAGCUUCAACUUCCUUGGUGUCCACAUCACCAACAAACUAACUGAAAAGAUUAGGCAUGGGUCCUCAUAUCCUCAAAGGGCUUUACAACUGCACCAUCAAGAGUAUCCUGACAGGUUUCGUCACUGCCUGGUAUGGCAACUGCUCUCCUCCGACCACAUAGCACUACAAAGGGUAGUGCGUAUGGCCCAGUACAUCACUGGGGCCAAGCUUCCUGCCAUCCAGGACAGAGGAAGGCCCUAAAAAUUGUCAAAGACUCCAGCCACCUUAGUCAUAGACUGUUCUCUCUGCUAACACACAACAAGUGGUACUGGAGCACCAAUUCUAGGUCCAAGAGGCUUCUAAACAGCUUCUACCCCCAAGCCAUAAGACUCCUGAACUUCUAAUCUAAUGGCUACCCAGACUAUUUGCAAAGGUCAUGGUACUUCUGAAUGAGAGUUGUUGGAUCUUGGAAUUUGCACCUGAAUAUUCAGCACUCUUUUUCUUGGUUCACUGUGGUAACUUAGUUCACUUGCAAAUUGCAUUUAAGUCUAUGUGUUUGACAAUAACCUUUAUUACGAUAUCCUGCACUAAAGAUCCCCUGGGGGAUGCAAGUUUCUGCACCUCCACUUCCUCUGAGAAAGGAUUCACCCCACCAUUCCUGGGACCACUAUAGGUCUCUAUGGGAUAUUGGGUUACCAGCAUCUCAUCCACCUGCUUCAGUCAAUGUUCAGGAGAUUUUUUCGGUUCCAUUUUAUCAGUUAUAGGGGCAGGGUUUUCAUAAGACUUGGUUUCUUUACUUGUUUCUAUGGUAUCUCCGACCUCACUGUUCUCUAACUUCAUGGCUCUCAGUCACAUCCACAUUCACUGUUCAUGUCUCAGAGCAAUGCACCUUGACUUCCCUGACAACAUAACAUAAUCUACACACAAUACACCAUAAUGACAAAGCAAAAAUGGAAAGACCACAUUUAAAUAAGUAUUCAGACUCUUUACUCAGUACUUUGUUGAAGCACCUUUGGCAGCGAUUAAAGUCUUGAGUCUUCUUGGGUAUGACGCAAGCUUGGCACACCUUUCCGAUAGGUGACCUAAACUGUAACAUGCUUAACACCCCGGCCAUCCUACAAUCUAAGCUCGAUGCCCUCAAUCUCACACAAAUGAUCAAUGAACCCACCAGGUACAACCCCAAAUCCGUAAACACGGGCACCCUCAUAGAUGUUAUCCUAACCAACAUGCCCUCCAAAUACACCUCUGCUGUUUUCAACCAAGAUCUCAGCGAUCACUGCCUAAUUGCCUGCAUCCGUAAUGGGUCUGUGGUCAAAUGACCACCCCUCAUCACUGUCAAACGCUCCCUAAAACACGAGGAAGGCCUUUCUAAAUCGACCUGGCCCGGGUAUCUUGGAAGGAUAUUGACCUCAUCCCGUCAGUAAAGGAUGCCUGGUUAUUCUUUAAAAGUGCCUUCCUCACCAUCUUAAAUAAGCAUGCCCCAUUCAAAAAAAAAUUGAACCAGGAACAGAUAUAGCUCUUGGUUCUCUCCAGACCUGACUGCCUUGACCAGCACAAAAACAUCCUGUAGCGUUCUGCAUUAGCAUCGAACAUCCCAGUGAUAUGCAACUUUUCAGGGAAGCUAGGAAAGCUAAGGCUAGCUUUUUUCAAGCAGAAAUUUGCAUCCUGUAGCACAAACUCCAAAAAGUUCUGGGACACUGUAAAGUCCAUGGAGAAUAAGAGCACCUCCUCCCAGCUGCCCACUGCACUGAGGCUAGAAAACACUGUCAACACCGAUAAAUCCACUAUAAUUGAGAAUUUCAAUAAGCAUUUUUCUAUGGCUGGCCAUGCUUUCCUCCACCCCCCACAGCAACUCGCCCAAGCCUAUCCCACUUCUCCUUCACCCAAAUUCAGAUAGCUGAUAUUCUGAAAGAGCUGCAAAAUCUGGACCCCUACAAAUCAGCCAGGCUAGACAAUCUGGACCCUCUCUUUCUAAAAUGAUCUGCUGAAAUUGUUGCAACCCCUAUUACUUGCCUGUUCAACCUCUCUUUCAUAUUGUCUGAGAUUCCCAUAGAUUGGAAAGCUGCCGCGGUCAUCCUCCUCUUCAAAGGGGGAGACACUCUAGACCCAAACUGCUACAGACCUAUAUGUAUUGUACCCUGCCUUUCUAAGGUCUUCGAAAGCCAAGUUAACAAACAGAUUACCAACCAUUUCGAACCACACCGUACCUUCUCCGCUAUGCAAUCUGGUUUCAGAGCUGGUCAUGGGUGCACCUCAGCCAUGCUCAAGGUCCUAAACGAUAUCAUAACCGCCAUCGAUAAGAGACAUUACUGUGCAGCCGUAUUCAUCGACCUGGCUAAGGCUUUCGACUCUGUCAAUCACAACAUUCUUAUUGGCAGACU
rnacentral:lncRNA from 13 species